GCUGAUGUAGUGUAGUGGUUAGCACGUGGGAUUUUGAUCAGAGACCUUCGUUAGAAGGAGAUUCAUCAUCUUCCCGAGUCCCCGGUUCGAACCCGGGCAACAGCU